GAUGAACGCUGGCGGCGUGCCUAAUACAUGCCAGUCGAGCGAACAGACGAGGAGCUUGCUCCUCUGACGUUAGCGGCGGACGGGUGAGUAACACGUGGAUAACCUACCUAUAAGACUGGGAUAACUUCGGGAAACCGGAGCUAAUACCAGAUAAUAUAUUGAACCGCAUGGUUCAAUAGUGAAAGACGGUUUUGCUGUCACUUAUAGAUGGAUCCGCGCCGCAUUAGCUAGUUGGUAAGGUAACGGCUUACCAAGGCAACGAUGCGUAGCCGACCUGAGAGGGUGAUCGGCCACACUGGAACUGAGACACGGUCCAGACUCCUACGGGAGGCAGCAGUAGGGAAUCUUCCGCAAUGGGCGAAAGCCUGACGGAGCAACGCCGCGUGAGUGAUGAAGGUCUUCGGAUCGUAAAACUCUGUUAUUAGGGAAGAACAAAUGUGUAAGUAACUAUGCACGUCUUGACGGUACCUAAUCAGAAAGCCACGGCUAACUACGUG
rnacentral:rRNA from 1 species